AUACGUAGGUGACAAGCGUUAUCCGGAUUUACUGGGCGUAAAGGGCGUGUAGGCGGUCUUGCAAGUCAGAAGUGAAAUUCCUGAGCUCAACUCGGGCGCUGCUUCUGAAACUGCAGGACUUGAGUGCUGGAGGGGAUAGCGGAAUUCCUAGUGGAGCGGUAAAAUGCGCAGAUAUUAGGAAGAACACCGGUGGCGAAGGCGUGUAUCUGGACAGUAACUGCCGCUGAGGCGCGAAAGCGUGGGGAGCAAACAGGAUGAGGUACCCUGGUAGUCCACGCCGUAAACGAUGAUUACUAGGUGUGGGGGGACUGACCCCUUCCGUGCCGCAGUUAACACAAUAAGUAAUCCACCUGGGGAGUACGGCCGCAAGGUUGAAACUCAAAUGAAUUGGCGGGG
rnacentral:rRNA from 1 species